CCCUUAGAUGUUCUGGGUCGCACGCGCGCUACACUGAUGCAUUCAACGAGCCUAUCCUUGACCGACAGGUCCGGGUAAUCUUUGAAUCUGCAUCGUGACGGGGAUAGAUUAUUGCAAUUAUUAAUCUUCCACGAGGAAUGCCUAGUAGGCGCAAGUCAUCAGCUUGCGUCGAUUACGUCCCUGCCCUUUGUACACACCGCCCGUCGCUCCUACCGAUUGGGUGUGCUGGUGAAAUGUUCGGAUCGGCCGUUUGUCGCGGUUUCCGCGUCAUGUGGCUGAGAAGUUCAUUAAACCCUCCCACCUAGAGGAAGGAGAAGUCGUAACA
rnacentral:rRNA from 1 species